rnacentral:rRNA from 1 species
UGUCCCCGAGCGUUAUCCGGAUUUAUUGGGCGUAAAGCGAGCGCAGACCGUUUAUUAAGUCUGAUGUGAAAGCCCGGAGCUCAACUCCGGAAUGGCAUUGGAAAACUGGUUAACUUGAGUGCAGUAGAGGUAAGUGGAACUCCAUGUGUAGCGGUGGAAUGCGUAGAUAUAUGGAAGAACACCAGUGGCGAAGGCGGCUUACUGGACUGCAACUGACGUUGAGGCUCGAAAGUGUGGGUAGCAAACAGGAUUAGAUACCCUGGUAGUCCACACCGUAAACGAUGAACACUAGGUGUUAGGAGGUUUCCGCCUCUUAGUGCCGAAGCUAACGCAUUAAGUGUUCCGCCUGGGGAGUACGACCGCAAGGUUGAAACUCAAAGGAAUUGACGGGGACCCGCACAAGCGGUGGAGCAUGUGGUUUAAUUCGAAGCAACGCGAAGAACCUUACCAGGUCUUGACAUCCUUUGAAGCUUUUAGAGAUAGAAGUGUUCUCUUCGGAGACAAAGUGACAGGUGGUGCAUGGUCGUCGUCAGCUCGUGUCGUGAGAUGUUGGGUUAAGUCCCGCAACGAGCGCAACCCUUAUUGUUAGUUGCCAGCAUUCAGAUGGGCACUCUAGCGAGACUGCCGGUGACAAACCGGAGGAAGGCGGGGACGACGUCAGAUCAUCAUGCCCCUUAUGACCUGGGCUACACACGUGCUACAAUGGCGUAUACAACGAGUUGCCAGCCCGCGAGGGUGAGCUAAUCUCUUAAAGUACGUCUCAGUUCGGAUUGUAGUCUGCAACUCGACUACAUGAAGUCGGAAUCGCUAGUAAUCGCGGAUCAGCACGCCGCGGUGAAUACGUUCCCGGGUCUUGUACACACCGCCCGUCACACCAUGGGAGUUUGUAAUGCCCAAAGCCGGUGGCCUAACCUUUAGGAAGGAGCCGUCUAAGCAGACAGAUGUUAUAU